rnacentral:rRNA from 1 species
UACGUAGGGUGCGAGCGUUGUCCGGAAUUAUUGGGCGUAAAGAGCUUGUAGGCGGUUUGUCGCGUCUGCUGUGAAAAUCCCGGGGCUCAACCCCGGACUUGCAGUGGGUACGGGCAGACUAGAGUGUGGUAGGGGAGACUGGAAUUCCUGGUGUAGCGGUGAAAUGCGCAGAUAUCAGGAGGAACACCGAUGGCGAAGGCAGGUCUCUGGGCCACUACUGACGUGAGGAGCGAAAGCGUGGGGAGCGAACAGG